ACUCAAAGGAAUUGACGGGGGCUCACACAAGCGGUGGAGCAUGUGGCUUAAUUCGAGGCUACGCGCAAAACCUUAUCCCGGGCUUGACAUGCACGGAUUAGCCGGCGGAAACGUCGGUGAGGCCGCAAGGUACAACGUGCACAGGUGCUGCAUGGCUGUCGUCAGCUCGUGCCGUGAGGUGUUGGGUUAAGUCCCGUAACGAGCGAAACCCCUGUCCCUAGUUGCCAGCGGGUCAUGCCGGGAACUCUAGGGAGACCGCCGGCGUUAAGCCGGAGGAAGGCGGGGAUGACGUCAAGUCCUCAUGGCCCUUAUGCCCGGGGCUGCACACGUGCUACAAUGGGUCGGACAGAGCGUCGCCAGGCCGCAAGGUCGAGCUAAUCGCCCAAACCGACCCCCAGUUCGGAUUGCGGGCUGCAACCCGCCCGCAUGAAGCCGGAAUCGCUAGUAAUCGCGGAUCAGCACGCCGCGGUGAAUGGGUUCCUGAGCCUUGCACACACCGCCCGU
rnacentral:rRNA from 1 species